rnacentral:rRNA from 1 species
GUGGGGAAUUUUGCGCAAUGGGGGCAACCCUGACGCAGCAACGCCGCGUGAGUGAUGAAGGCCUUCGGGUCGUAAAGCUCUUUUAGUGGGGAAGAAGCCCACCUUGGCUAAUAUCCAAGGUGUCUGACGGUACCCACAGAAAAAGUUCCGGCUAACUACGUGCCAGCAGCCGCGGUAAUACGUAGGGAGCAAGCGUUGUUCGGAAUUAUUGGGCGUAAAGAGCGCGUAGGCGGUUCGGUAAGUCUGACGUGAAAUCCCGGAGCUCAACUCCGGAACUGCGUUGGAUACUGCCGGGCUUGAGUGUGGGAGAGGAGAGUGGAAUUCCCAGUGUAGAGGUGAAAUUCGUAGAUAUUGGGAGGAACACCCGUGGCGAAGGCGGCUCUCUGGACCACAACUGACGCUGAGGCGCGAAAGCUAGGGUAGCAAACGGGAUUAGAAACCCUAGUAGUCC